rnacentral:misc_RNA from 1 species
UACUGCAGCCUGCUCCCAAAG